rnacentral:rRNA from 1 species
ACGUAGGGGGCAAGCGUUGUCCGGAAUUACUGGGCGUAAAGAGUACGUAGGCGGUUUGUUAAGUUAGGUGUGAAAGUUUGCAGCUCAACUGUAAAAGUGCAUUUAAAACUGGCAGACUUGAGUCUCGGAGAGGUAAGCGGAAUUCCUAGUGUAGCGAUAAAAGGCGUAGAGAUUAGGCAGAACACCGGUGGCGAAGGCAGCUUACUGGACGAGUACUGGCACUCAGGUACGAAAGCGUGGUGAGCAAACAG